rnacentral:rRNA from 1 species
AUAUUCGGCAAUGGGGGAAACCCUGACCGAGCAACGCCGCGUGGGUGAAGAAGUUUUUCGGAACGUAAAACCCUGUCGUGAGGGAAGAAUGAGCAUCAUAUGAAAAGUGUGAUGAAGUGACGGUACCUUACAAGAAAGCUCCGGCUAACUACGUUCCAGCAGCCGCGGUAAUACGUAGGGAUCGAGCGUUGUCCGGAAUCAUUGGGCGUAAAGGGCGCGUAGGCGGUCUGUUAAGUCAAAUGUGAAAUACACCGGCUCAACCAGUGUACUGCGUUUGAAACUGGUAGACUUGAGAUCAGGAGAGGAGAGUGGAAUUCCUAGUGUAGCGGUGAAAUGCGUAGAUAUUAGGAAGAACAUCGAUGGCGAAGGCAGCUCUCUGGCCUGACCCUGACGCUGAGGCGCGAAAGCGUGGGGAGCAAAC